GCGAAUCUCGAAAGCCUGUCUCAGUUCGGAUUGGAGGCUGAAACCCGCCUCCAUGAAGUUGGAUUCGCUAGUAAUCGCGCAUCAGCCAUGGCGCGGUGAAUACGUUCCCGGGCCUUGUACACACCGCCCGUCACACCAUGGGAGCCGGUAAUACCCGAAGUCAGUAGUUUAACCGCAAGGGGGGCGCUGCCGAAGGUAGGAUUGGCGACUGGGGUGAAGUCGUAACAAGGUAUC
rnacentral:rRNA from 1 species